rnacentral:SRP_RNA from 1 species
GCCAGGUAUGGUGGUGCAUGCCUGUAGUCCCAGCUAUUCAGGAGGCUGAGGUGGGAGGAUCGCCUGUGCCCAGGAGUUCAAGGCUGCAGUGAGCUGUGAUCACACCACAGUGCUCCAGCCUGGGCAACAAAGCAAGACUCCAUCUCUG